AAUUAUUCGAUAAUCAAUCACUUAUAGUCUAGAAUACAUUUGUAACUUAGCUGUAGAGAAAUACAUGAUUUGUUAUUCUUUUAAAUAAUAAUGACUCAAAAUAUCCAAAUAACUAGUAGAAUACAUUUCUUACACGGUAAGAAACAUGAACUUUUUUCUCUCCAUCUAAACCACAAGGAAAGAAGUAAAAACAUGGAAAAGGACAAGUGAUAAAACGGCGUCUUCUGCUCCACUUGUCUCUACCGCAGUCCACAUACAAAACCGAACCACCGUCGCGAAUCGUGAAGCGGAUCCGACGCCCCGGGCGCCUCCUAAUCACAAAUCCGCUAGAUAACUAUGAGCACGAGUGCACUGUUCCAUUUUCUUGACAACACAAGUGAAGUGCGUACAAUAACGCUCACCAUCAAGGCACCACCCCUGGUUGGCUCUAGUCUCUAGAAUGCGUACAUCACACCAUCUUCUCCAGGCCACAAAAUCCUGUGCCCCCGAAUGUUGUUUCUUUCUCUGGCUUGCCUUGCAACACCGGUGAUUCUCGCUGCAGAAUGCUUGACUGCCGAUCCACCUUUUGGAUAUAAAAGAUUCGGAAAUUAGAAAAAACCUAGCAGAUAUGGAAGUUUUCGUUAAAAACAGUUUUUUAACGACAAUGGACUGGAGACGUAUCAAAAAUGGAGAACAAAUUAACAUGACAAUAAUCUGGUCAUGAUAACUUUUAAUAAAAAUAAACACAGUAAAGUAAAGUCAGCCUCUUCUCGUCAACUUCAAUAAUCCCAAAACAGCACUCUGCUUACUGACUGGAAUAUGAGAGCUUCCAUUAUGUUCAGCGACAACAAGCAACUACCAAAAGGAAGUAAUGUAAGCUGCUGGCAGCAGUGAAAAGAAAGGAAGAUAUAACAUGAUUGCAUUUGUAACUGAGCAGCCCUUUUCAGGAAAGAAGACAAUUGCGCUAGGUAUAUGACUGGAGGCAGAGGACGAAAAAAAUUUAAGGUGUGGCGAAGUCUUAAGGAAAUAAUUCUUUUGAUGCAAAUCAAAAGAGUCAAGACAAAUUACAAACGAAAAACCAAAUACAAUGAAUAUGUAGGCAUGUUUCAAUAGGAAAACAACCUAAAAUAUACCGAUAAUGAAGCUUUCAAUGGCAUGUGCCGAAAUAUUGACACUUUCACGGGUGCUUGGAUUUGAUUUUGAGUUGCUGCCACUACCAAGCACUUCAAAAUACUUCUUCAAAUCUGCAAUCACAACAUUAAUAUAUCACUACAAUCUGCUUGAAUUUAAGGCUUGAAGCUGCUGUUCAAAAUUGCUAUAAAAUUUCAGAACAAAGAGAAAUUACCUCUUCCCCUUUUCUUUGGAUUUGCUAGUCCAUUCCCCUUUCUAUCCAUCUUCUAGUAAUCUGGACAGAACAGCACCGGUUGGGCAUCUUAUUAGCUUGUACGUAUAAUCAUCUAAAAACAAAAACUUGUUCGUACAGUACACAGUUAUAUUCAUAAUUACUGCAGUUGGUUCGGAACUUCAGAUCCUGAAGAAUUGACAGACGAAAAAUCGGCAAUACCUAACAAAGUGGCUGCAACUAGUCUCUGGUUCGGACCCUGAGUAAUUACCAAGGAAUUGCCAGGAAAAUCCCAAUGGAGCUUGCUGCCGCCACUGGAGCCACCGGUUGCUGCCGCCGCUGAAGACGUCGCUUGCUGCCUUAGCUGGAGCCGCGCUGCAGCCACCGCUGGAGCUUGCUGCCGCAGCCCUCUAAGCCCCCAGCCUGCCGCCGUCGUCAGUCGCCCGCCUGGUCCUCGCGACCUGGCCAGCCGCCGCCGCCGCGCUAGCUUAGGGUUGCGUCGCGUCUGGUG
rnacentral:lncRNA from 1 species